rnacentral:rRNA from 1 species
AACGAACGCUGGCGGCAGGCUUAACACAUGCAAGUCGAGCGCCCCGCAAGGGGAGCGGCAGACGGGUGAGUAACGCGUGGGAAUCUACCCAUCUCUACGGAAUAACGCAUGGAAACGUGUGCUAAUACCGUAUACGUCCUUCGGGAGAAAGAUUUAUCGGAGAUGGGUGAUCCCGCGUUGGAUUAGCUAGUUGGUGGGGUAAAGGCCUACCAAGGCGACGAUCCAUAGCUGGUCUGAGAGGAUGAUCAGCCACACUGGGACUGGGACACGGCCCAGACUCCUACGGGAGGCAGCAGUGGGGAAUAUUGGACAAUGGGCGCAAGCCUGAUCCAGCCAUGCCGCGUGGGUGAUGAAGGCCCUAGGGUUGUAAAGCUCUUUCACCAGUGAAGAUAAUGACGGUAACCGGAGAAGAAGCCCCGGCUAACUUCGUGCCAGCAGCCGCCGCGGUAA